rnacentral:rRNA from 1 species
AUACGGAGGGUGCAAGCGUUAUUCGGAAUCACUGGGCGUAAAAGACGCGUAGGCGGGUUGGCAAGUCAGAUGUGAAAUCCUACAGCUUAACUGUAGAACUGCAUUUGAAACUGCUAACCUAGAGUAUGGGAGGGGGAGAUGGAAUUAGUGGUGUAGGGGUAAAAUCCGUAGAUAUCACUAGGAAUACCGAAAGCGAAGGCGAUCUCCUGGAACAUAACUGACGCUAAGGCGUGAAAGCGUGGGGAGCAAACAGGAUUAGAAACCCUAGUAGUCC